rnacentral:rRNA from 1 species
GGGGAAUAUUGGACAAUGGGCGCAAGCCUGAUCCAGCCAUACCGCGUGGGUGAAGAAGGCCUUCGGGUUGUAAAGCCCUUUUGUUGGGAAAGAAAAGCAGCCGGCUAAUACCCGGUUGUUCUGACGGUACCCAAAGAAUAAGCACCGGCUAACUUCGUGCCAGCAGCCGCGGUAAUACGAAGGGUGCAAGCGUUACUCGGAAUUACUGGGCGUAAAGCGUGCGUAGGUGGUUGUUUAAGUCUGUCGUGAAAGCCCUGGGCUCAACCUGGGAACUGCGAUGGAAACUGGGCGACUAGAGUGUGGUAGAGGGUAGCGGAAUUCCUGGUGUAGCAGUGAAAUGCGUAGAUAUCAGGAGGAACAUCCAUGGCGAAGGCAGCUACCUGGGCCAACACUGACACUGAGGCACGAAAGCGUGGGGAGCAAAC